AGAGUUUGAUCAUGGCUCAGGACGAACGCUGGCGGCGUGCCUAAUACAUGCAAGUCGAACGAACGGAUAAAGAGCUUGCUCUUUUGAAGUUAGUGGCGGACGGGUGAGUAACACGUGGGUAACCUGCCUCACAGCUGGGGAUAACAUCGAGAAAUCGAUGCUAAUACCGAAUGUGCUGAACAUCAUAAGAUGUUCAAGUGAAAGACGGUUUCGGCUGUCACUGUGAGAUGGACCCGCGCUGGAUUAGCUAGUUGGUAAGGUAAUGGCUUACCAAGGCGACGAUCCAUAGCCGACCUGAGAGGGUGAUCGGCCACAUUGGGACUGAGACACGGCCCAAACUCCUACGGGAGGCAGCAGUAGGGAAUCUUCGGCAAUGGACGAAAGUCUGACCGAGCAACGCCGCGUGAGCGAAGAAGGCCUUCGGGUCGUAAAGCUCUGUUGUUAGAGAAGAACAUGGGUGAGAGUAACUGUUCACCCCUUGACGGUAUCUAACCAGAAAGCCACGGCUAACUACGUGCCAGCCGCCGCGGUAAUAC
rnacentral:rRNA from 1 species